rnacentral:rRNA from 1 species
GAUGAACGCUGGCGGCGUGCCUAAUACAUGCAAGUAGAACGCUGAAGGAGGAGCUUGCUCUUCUGGAUGAGUUGCGAACGGGUGAGUAACGCGUAGGUAACCUGCCUGGUAGCGGGGGAUAACUAUUGGAAACGAUAGCUAAUACCGCAUGACAACAGUUAUUGCAUGAUAACUGUUUAAAAGGGGCAACUGCUCCACUACCAGAUGGACCUGCGUUGUAUUAGCUAGUUGGUGAGGUAACGGCUCACCAAGGCGACGAUACAUAGCCGACCUGAGAGGGUGAUCGGCCACACUGGGACUGAGACACGGCCCAGACUCCUACGGGAGGCAGCAGUAGGGAAUCUUCGGAAAGGGACGGAAGUCUGACCGAGCAACGCCGCGGGAGUGAAGAAGGGUGUCGGAUCGGAAAGCUCUGUUGUAAGAGAAGAAAGAGUGUGAGAGUGGAAAGUUCACACUGUGACGGUAUCUUACCAGAAAGGGACGGCUAACUACGUG